CCUACGGGAGGCAGCAGUGAGGAAUAUUGGUCAAUGGGCGGGAGCCUGAACCAGCCAAGUCGCGUGAGGGAAGACGGUCCUAUGGAUUGUAAACCUCUUUUGUCAGGGAGCAACGCCGGCUACGUGUAGCCGGACUGAGAGUACCUGAAGAAAAAGCAUCGGCUAACUCCGUGCCAGCAGCCGCGGUAAUACGGAGGAUGCGAGCGUUAUCCGGAUUUAUUGGGUUUAAAGGGUGCGUAGGCGGAAUGCCAAGUCAGCGGUAAAAUCGCGGGGCUCAACCUCGCUCCGCCGUUGAAACUGGCGUUCUUGAGUGGGCGAGAAGUAUGCGGAAUGCGUGGUGUAGCGGUGAAAUGCAUAGAUAUCACGCAGAACACCGAUUGCGAAGGCAGCUUUCCAAGCUAUUACUGACGCUGAGGCACGAAAGCGUGGGGAGCGAACAGGAUUAGAUACCCGAGUAGUC
rnacentral:rRNA from 1 species